rnacentral:misc_RNA from 1 species
CAACACCUCAGCGCAAGCUGGUUUUGAGCUGUAAGGGUUCGCUUCGGCUGCCCUUCCGCUUUAAAGUUGUAAGCUCUGCUGGCUUCCAGCCUGACCGGAAACAUAGUAAAUUUCUUGCCUUGUUUAUGGAUAGGUUGCGAGGUUCGGCCUGAACAACACCUUCAAUUUUUCUAG